CAUCAAAACCGUAGAAAAGAAAGCAUCGUUCUCUCUCCCUCCCGAUCCGACGCCGUGCGCAAAAGAAACCCGACGCCAGAUUUGGGCUACGCGAUCGGAGUAAGGUUGUUAUGUUGCAGCCGAUUCUUUCUCCUUAUUUUGAUGUGUUGAUGGAUCGAUAUGCUUUUGGAUCGACGAACCGGCCUAGGGCUUCUGAUUGUUGCUGAAAGAUCCCAAGAGUUAUCCUGCAUUCUUCAAUUUAAUCUUGUUAGACAGUGUUACUUUAUGCCGACAGAUUGUGUCUGUUUUAAGAAUACAAUGGAGAAGAUUUCUGUAGGUGAAAUUUGGUUAAAUGUCAUACAUGCCGAACUGAAUCCAUGCACGAAAGCAAGACCAGUAGGAUGUUUCAUACCUUCUGGGUUUGCUAGUAAUGACAAAAUGCUGAAUAUCAAGCCCCAUGGGUCCCAACUGUUGUUUGUUCAUUGCUGGCGUGUCUUGGCUCAUGGAAGGGCAUCUGGCUGGAAGACUAUUGCAUGACCUGCUAUCAUGCCAGUUGAGCAUUCAUCCAUGUCAGGCUCAUGGAGUGAUAGUAUUUAUGGGAUAUCCACAUAGUCUUAUGCUGGAAAAUAGGAAAAGUUGACGAUGUCAUACAUGAAGUGAUUGAGGGUCACAAUGGGAAAUGAUAUGGAUUCAUCAAAGGGCAUUUUUACUGGAACAAUUCAGGAAGAUGGUUUUCGAGACCAAAUCGAGUCGUAGAAUGGCCACCCCUGUGGCGUCCUUUAUGACCCUCUUCUUACUUGCUUAUUCUUGAGAAAGGAGCAGUCAUAGUGUUCUUUAGAUUUUUAUCAUUUCAAGAUAUCAGAGCGCAUGCUUUUGGUUCUGCCUAUGUUCUAAUGCUGGUGCUUUGUGCAAUGUCUUCCCUGAAGGCAUGUUUUCAAUAUAUAAGAUUUUAGGUGCUCUUGGCUAGUCUUUCUGAAACGCAGACAGUUCAUGGAUUGUGAUUACUGUUAGUUGUAUUUGUUAAGGAACUGUGUGCUUCUUUGUUGUCACAUGAUAAGUGAACUUUCGAAAUGUAAAUUGCAACUUUCUCUCACUUUGCAAACUUGCAACCAUCUCUCUCUCUAUCAAUAAUAUAUGCAUCUUUCCAAGGGAGGGGUAGGACAUCUGAAUCCUGGAGCACCACCAGGGGUACAUACCAUGAACUGGAUAGCUUGCUGCUUGGAUAAGGGACAAAUGUUUCGGUUCUUUUCAUCACCCUUCAUCAUUUCUGAUGCUGCCAACUCAUGUGACCCUGAGCUACCAGUGGCAAACAUGUGUUCUACCUUAAGACCUGAGAAACUUUGGUUUAGGUAUGAUUGAUCUCAUACAGUAAAAAAAGUUGGGUCUUCGGUACAUGCAUGGGAAAGAUUGAUUUUAAAACAAGGGUUUACAUCUCACAAGAUUUAGUGUGUAUCAUCUUUUGGUUCACAUCUGCCCUUUUCAUGUGCUCCUUACCUGUACUCCACAUAAACUACUGCUCUUGCCUGGCCCAGGUUGGAAGGUCACGCACACACCACCAUCAUUUAUGUUUGACAAAUGUAGGUUAUCCAUUUCAUGAAAGCUGUGCCACUAUUUUGUUAAUCUAUCAUUCUUAGUAUUUUAUUGCUAGAACAGUGCAAUUGGAUUCUUUAUAGCAUAGCAUGACAGGAUCUCAUUAGGUGGGGAGCCGUUGUACUUGCAAAUUGUGCCCUGGACCACCAUUUUGGGACUCUUAAAAGUUGAUACUAUUAUAUUAGGUAAUCAUGAAACCCUUACUUGUUUCAUGUAAUUUGAUAAAUUAGGAGGUAGGUUAUCUCUCCAGCUUUGUUUUAGGAAGUUUAAUCUUCCCUAUAGUUGGUAAGUCACAUAAAAAUUGGAUCAUAGGAAUCAUUCAUAAGAGAAAUUUUUUAUUCGAAUUCCGAAGUCACUCAUGUUCUUUCUUAUCGGGCAUGAAGGAGUGAAAUUAUUCAUAGACUGCUAUGGCUAUAAUGUACAGUUUUGCUUUCAUUAAUUAGAGUAGCUUCUAUUACAGAACACAAUAUGGUUGGCAAGUUGGUUAAGGGGUACUUUUUUAAUGGCUC